GACCAUGGGUCAAUGGUAGAACUUCAGUUUUGGCGUACAGAAGAUCUCAGGUUCAAGUCCUGAGAUCUCCG
rnacentral:tRNA from 1 species